ensembl:lncRNA
CUACCAACUCUGCAAGCUUUGCUGAGCUGUCUCAAGACUCCCUGGGCAGGAAUAUAAUCUUCUUUUUUUUUUUUUUUUUUCCUGUACAGUUUAUUUUAGCAAGUAGAUCAAUAUGAUCUGUUCAGAAGGGGCAGGUGAAUGGCAGAGACCAUCCCAUAGCACGGAGCCACAAAUCAGCUCAGAAAUUUCCUGUGGUUGUGCCCCAGCUGGAGGCACAUGGAGUGUGCGCUCUGCUUCAUGAUAGAUUAUGUUUUCAGUGCUUAUGAACAUCAAGCUACCCAUCAAUGUAUAUGUAUUUUUUUUGCUACUGCUGCAGCUGGAUAUAACUGUGGCCAUUACUGUUCCUUUUGUCUUUGUUCUUUGGAAUGUUUAAGAGAGUUGUGCACAUGCUGUUUAAUGAGAUUUAUUUGGCCUGCAAACUGCAGAUGGGCAGAAAUCAAAGGAGGUGGAAGUGGACACUGACAUGACCUCCAGAAUGUUGCUUAUGGAGAACAUCCUUCUAGUGAUGUAUGACAAGUCUGAGGUCAGUGAUUAGUAUCUAUUAGCUCUGUGAAAAAUGGAGAAAGCAAUAGUUCCUGGUGGUGCAUGUUUUUAGAUCUCGAUAAAAUGGAGAAGCCUGGUGUGAGAAUAAAAAAUGUCACAGUGUCUAUCUAUGCAAUUACCACACAACACCAGGGCAUCUUAACACUUAAAAUACUUACAUACAAAGUUGUAUUAGUACGAAAAACUGUGGUCUAGAAUCCUUCCCUCCCACGUCCCCCCUGUGACAGCUGGAUUUGAUUAUUGUUAUUCACUUCUUCCUCUUUCUCCUCGAAAUUCUCUUCAUUUCUUUUUGUUUUUGUUGGAAAGCUAAAUCAAAGAGUAGCUUUACGUUCUGCUCUGAACACGGCCAAUAAUGCAGUAACUAGCUCUUCUGCAAAAAGAGCUGAGAGGUCUUGUGUGAACUGCCUUGUGCCACCUCUCUCCUGCAGUUCAGCCCACAUGGUACAGAAAAGGGCAGGCUUUCCAAGAGUGGGCUUAACUUCCAAUAUGAUGGUUGCAUGAAAAAUCUCUGCUGUUGUCUAGAGUAACUGGUAAAGUGAUUUCUAUCUAACCACUAAUGUUAACUGGUGUUUCAGCAAUACUCACAGGGUUUCCUGUGAUAUUCAGCAAUCUUCACAGAGACUCUUUUUCACAUAACUGUGCAUGAAAAUGAACUAAAACAGUUUGGUCAUAUACAGCUAAGAAACUGUGAGCAAAUCCAUGCAUAUCUGAAAAGAGAACAGUCAGAGCUGUGGAAAAAUAUAUUUUUAAUCAUUGCAUUGGUAGAAAAAAAAAAAUGUCUUUUUCACCUAAAAGUGUUAUU